rnacentral:rRNA from 1 species
CUGGCUCAGGAUGAACGCUAGCUACAGGCUUAACACAUGCAAGUCGAGGGGCAGCAUGGGAGUUGCUGCAAUUCCUGAUGGCGACCGGCGCACGGGUGAGUAACGCGUAUCCAACCUUCCCCUUAGUAGGGCAUAGCCCGGUGAAAAUCGGAUUAAUACCCUAUGUUCUUCACAGCAGACAUCUAACGUGAAGCAAAGGUUCACCGCUAAGGGAUGGGGAUGCGUCUGAUUAGGUAGUAGGCGGGGUAACGGCCCACCUAGCCUUCGAUCAGUAGGGGUUCUGAGAGGAAGGUCCCCCACAUUGGAACUGAGACACGGUCCAAACUCCUACGGGAGGCAGCAGUGAGGAAUAUUGGUCAAUGGGCGAGAGCCUGAACCAGCCAAGUAGCGUGCAGGAUGACGGCCCUAUGGGUUGUAAACUGCUUUUAUAUGGGGAUAAAGUUCACCACGUGUGGUGUUUUGCAGGUACCAUAUGAAUAAGGACCGGCUAAUUCCGUGCCAGCCGCGGC